rnacentral:lncRNA from 1 species
CCCCAGGCUGGUCUCAAACUCCUAGCCUCAAGCAAACUUCCUGUCUCGGCCUUUCAAAACCCUGAGAUUACAAGCAUAAGAAAAGAAAAUCUUGUAAGAUGAAAGCUGAAGGAUGAGAGCAAUUAAUUGAUGAAGUAUGAUGAUCCAGGUGUCCCUGGGUGAAGAAACAACCUCUACAAAGGCCCUGAGACAGGGUCUCGCUCAUCACCAGGCUGGAGUACAGUGACAUGAUCAUGGCUCACUGCAGCCUCAACCUCCCGGGUUCAGGCUAUCCUCCCACCUCAGCCUCCCAGGACCACAGGCGUGUGCCACCAUGCCCAGCUAAUUUUUUGUAGAGAUGGGGUUAUGCCAUGUUGCCCAGGCUGGUCUCGAGCUGCUGGGCACAAGCAAUCUACCCAUCUCAGUCUCCCAAAGUGCUGGCAUUAUAGUCGUGAGCCACUGUGCCCAGCCAACAGCGUCUUUCAAAGAGCAGAGAGAGGUUAAUUUUGAUGAUGUCCAGUUUGCACCUUUGUUGAAAAUUGACCAUAUAUCUGU